AGUGAACGCUGGCGGUAGGCCUAACACAUGCAAGUCGAACGGCAGCACAGGAGAGCUUGCUCUCUGGGUGGCGAGUGGCGGACGGGUGAGGAAUACAUCGGAAUCUACUCUGUCGUGAGGGAUAACGUAGGGAAACUUACGCUAAUACCGCAUACGACCUACGGGUGAAAGCAGGGGAUCUUCGGACCUUGCGCGAUUGAAUGAGCCGAUGUCGGAUUAGCUAGUUGGCGGGGUAAAGGCCCACCAAGGGGACGAUCCGUAGCGGGUCUGAGAGGAUGAUCAGCCACACUGGAACUGAGACACGGUCCAGACUCCUACGGGAGGCAGCAGUGGGGAAUAUUGGACAAUGGGCGCAAGCCUGACCCAGCCAUACCGCGUGGGUGAAGAAGGCCUUCGGGUUGUAAAGCCCUUUUGUUGGGAAAGAAAUCCAGCUGGCUAAUACCCGGUUGGGAUGACGGUACCCAAAGAAUAAGCACCGGCUAACUUCGUGCCAGCCGCCGCCGUAA
rnacentral:rRNA from 1 species